rnacentral:rRNA from 1 species
GUUUAUUAAGUUGGGGGUGAAAUCUCCGGGCUCAACCCGGAGCUCGUUCUCAAAACUGGUAGACUUGAGUAAGGUAGAGGCUGACGGAAUUCUGCAAGUAGGGGUAAAAUCCGUUGAUCUGCAGAGGAACACCAAAAGCGAAGGCAGUCAGCUGGGCCUUUACUGACGCUGAGGGACGAAAGCGUGGGUAGCGAACGGGAUUAGAUACCCCGGUAGUCCACGCCGUAAAUGAUGGAUACUGGACAUUGGUACUCGAUCGUAUCAGUGUCUCAAGCUAACGCAUUAAGUAUCCCGCCUGGGGAGUACGGUCGCAAGAUUAAAACUCAAAGGAAUAGACGGGGACCCACACAAGCGGUGGAGCAUGUGGUUUAAUUCGACAAUAAGCGAGGAACCUUACCAGGGCUUGACAUCCCGAGAAUUCUUUAGAAAUAGAGAAGUGCCUUUAUGGAACUCGGUGACAGGUGCUGCAUGGUUGUCGUCAGCUCGUGCCUUGAGGUGUUCGGUUAAGUCCGUAAACGAGCGCAACCCUAGUCCUAUGUUGUAUAUUUCAUAGGAGACUGCCUUGUCCAACGAGGAGGAAGGUUAGGAUGACGUCAAAUCAGCAUGGCCCUUAUGUCCUGGGCGACACACGUGCUACAAUGGUCGGUACAAUGGGUAGCCAACCCGCGAGGGGGAGCCAAUCCCAUCAAAGCCGGUCCAAGUUCGGAUUGGAGGCUGCAACUCGCCUCCAUGAAGUUGGAAUCG